rnacentral:lncRNA from 1 species
CCAAGGCUAUGCUAGAGGUGGUAGGGCAGACUAUUAUGCAUUCAGAACAUCUUGGCAGCACAAUUGUAGUUAGUAUUAUCACUAUGGGUUGUUAUGCAUUAAACAAAUAGAAUAACAUAUUUAAGUCAUGAUUUUCUCUUGUAAGUCCUCGUUAGCUGAAGUCUUAUACAAUGGUUGUAAAUAUCUACAGUACGUCUAGUUGUAAGUUAGUUGAAACAAU